rnacentral:tRNA from 1 species
GGGUGGUUACCAGAGUGGCCAAAUGGGGCAGACUGUAAAUCUGCUGGCUNNGUUCGAAUCCAUCACCACCCACCU